rfam:Enterovibrio coralii strain CAIM 912 contig00049, whole genome shotgun sequence.
CUGACACCAGAGAAAACCUAUAGUUUGCUCGCAACGCAAAGCCCGCAUUUUUGCGAAUCUCUCUUUGUGGUUGCGAUGUUGUGUUUGCAUAUUUUUGGCUAAUGCCAGAACCCGGUAGUGAUUGCUACCCUAAUACUUGCUGUAUUUUGAAUCCGAUCUAUCAAAUGAUUUGUCGUAGCACUGAGUGAAAACUCGGUGCUUUUUUUU